rnacentral:rRNA from 1 species
CCUACGCGAGGCAGCAGUGAGGAAUAUUGGUCAAUGGACGAGAGUCUGAACCAGCCAAGUAGCGUGAAGGAUGACUGCCCUAUGGGUUGUAAACUUCUUUUAUAAAGAAAUAAAACGAGGCACGUGUGCCUAUGUGCAUGUACUUUAUGAAUAAGGAUCGGCUAACUCCGUGCCAGCAGCCGCGGUAAUACGGAGGAUCCGAGCGUUAUCAGGAGUGAUUGGGUUUAAAGGGAGCGUAGAUGGGUUGUUAAGUCAGUUGUGAAAGUUUGCGGCUCAACCCUAAAAGUGCAAUUGAUACUGGCAGUCUUGAGUACAGUUGAGGUAAGCGGAAUUCGUGGUGUAGCGGUGAAAUGCUUAGAUAUCACGAAGAACCCCGAGUGCGAAGGCAGCUUACUAAACUGUGACUGACAUUGAUGCUCGAGAGCGUGGGUAGCGAACAGGAUUAGAUACCCCGGUAGUC